rnacentral:rRNA from 1 species
AAUCCAGACUCCUACGGGAGGCAGCAGUGAGGAAUAUUGGUCAAUGGCCGGAAGGCUGAACCAGCCAAGUCGCGUGAGGGAAUAAGGCCCUAUGGGUCGUAAACCUCUUUUGUCAGGGAGCAAAGGCGUCCACGAGUGGACGAAAGGAGAGUACCUGAAGAAAAAGCAUCGGCUAACUCCGUGCCAGCAGCCGCGGUAAUACGGAGGAUGCGAGCGUUAUCCGGAUUUAUUGGGUUUAAAGGGUGCGCAGGCGGAGGUGCAAGUCAGCGGUCAAAUUGCGGGGCUCAACCCCGUACUGCCGUUGAAACUGGCAGUCUCGAGUUGGAGAGAAGUAUGCGGAAUGCGCGGUGUAGCGGUGAAAUGCAUAGAUAUCGCGCAGAACUCCGAUUGCGAAGGCAGCGUACCGGCGCCCAACUGACGCUGAAGCACGAAGGCGUGGGUAUCGAACAGGAUUAGAUACCCGAGUAGC